rnacentral:rRNA from 1 species
UGGCCACGCAAGUUCGUCGGGAAAUCCACUAGCUCAACUAGUGGGCGUCCGGCGAAAACUGCGUGGCUUGGGACCGGAAGGCUCGAGGGGUACGUCCGGGGUAGGAGUGAAAUCCUGUAAUCCUGGACGGACCACCGAUGGCGAAAGCACCUCGAGAAGACGGAUCCGACAGUGAGGGACGAAAGCUGGGGUCUCGAACCGGAUUAGAUACCCGGGUAGUCCCAGCCGUAAACGAUGCCAGUUAGGUGUGGCGCAGGCUACGAGCCUGCGCUGUGCCGUAGGGAAGCCGAGAAACUGGCCGCCUGGGAA